rnacentral:pre_miRNA from 1 species
GCUGGUUUCACGAUUAUCGAACAUUUUGACUUUGAUUGUUCGUUGUCGUCGAAACCUGCCU